rnacentral:rRNA from 1 species
AAGACCUUGCACUUUUGGAGCGGCCGAUGUCUGAUUAGCUAGUUGGUGGGGUAAUGGCCUACCAAAGCUUCGAUCAGUAGCUGGUCUGAGAGGACGGCCAGCCACACUGGGACUGAGACACGGCCCAGACUCCUACGGGAGGCAGCAGUGGGGAAUUUUGGACAAUGGGCGCAAGCCUGAUCCAGCCAUGCCGCGUGAGUGAAGAAGGCCUUCGGGUUGUAAAGCUCUUUCAGCCGGGAAGAAAAGGCUGCGAUUAAUAAUCGUAAUUUAUGACGGUACCGGAAGAAGAAGCACCGGCUAACUACGUGCCAGCAGCCGCGGUAAUACGUAGGGUGCGAGCGUUAAUCGGAAUUACUGGGCGUAAAGGGUGCGCAGGCGGUUUUGUAAGUCAGAUGUGAAAUCCCCGGGCUUAACCUGGGAACU